CAGCAACAGAAGUUCUGCAUUUGAGUCUUAGCUGAUUGGAACAGCAGGGGAGACAGUGAAAUUAGUAACAGGCAAAGAGAUGCUCCACGUUGGUCUUCAUCAUCAUUUAAAAAAUUGCCUUUUGAGUGGAAGGGGAAGACGUGUUUUAAAAAGAACUUAACUUGUGUAAGCAAAUCCAGGGCUGCCACUUGAGAGUGCAGUUCUGCAGAGAAACACCUAAAGGAGAAGCUUCAUCUGAAGUGGCCUUGACCACCUUCCUCCCUGGGUGCUUCCUACCACCACAUUAACAGCGAUGAUCCAAUGGUGACGUGAUGGACCGUGACCGGAGUGGUGCGUCUCGGUGCUGUGAUGCAGGCCCAGUCAUCUCCCUCAGAAAGUCAUUCCCUGUGCAUGGCUGGCCUGAGCCAACUUACUCCGUGGCAACGUGCCCAUUGUUUGCUGUGAAUUUAGAACCUGAAGCUAAGGAUGAAAGCCCUUGUCAGCUGUGCAGUGGUAACUAAAUGGAAUCAAACUACUAAUUGAUUUAGAUUAUUGCAGCUAAUUGCUGAGACCUUGGGUGCAGAGACUACCUAAGUGACGUGCUAAGAAGCUUCCUGCAACAUAAGGGUACACAAGAAAACAGUUCUGAAAAGGUACACACAAAACCAGUUCCAGAGUCUUCGGCAAAAAUACCAUGUCUCCCUGGCUUGUACACCCAUAUUCCUUCCCCAUAGGCUAUGAUGUGUGUAAAGUGAGGGAACAGUGUUCCCCAUCUGGUUUGUAUCCUGUUCUGGAGUCAGGAGGUGAAUGAAGCAUUGAGUUGGACUGAGGAGCUGUGAAGUACUCCCAGGUCCUGCAAUGAUAUCACAGGCAGAUAUCUACAAGUGAUAAUGCAAUCCAUUUUUUUAGGAUAGUUGAGCUGGAAUUAUUCCUUAACUCAGAAGUUCCGAAGUGAAAACACAUUUUCCAAAUUAAGGAAGGCAGAAAUUUGCAAAAGUCCCUUUGAGGCAAGGAAAGACCAUAAAUGUAUUUCAUAAAAAAUCUGCAUAGUCAAUUUUCCAUUGCUGGGAGGUGUUAUUGUAAAUAAAUCUUCUGUGUGCAGUGGGAAUCUUGUAUGU
rnacentral:lncRNA from 1 species